rnacentral:rRNA from 1 species
UACGGGGGGGGCAAGCGUUGUUCGGAUUUACUGGGCGUAAAGGGCGCGUAGGCGGCCUCCGCAAGUCAGUUGUGAAAUCUCCGAGCUUAACUCGGAAAGGUCAACUGAUACUGCGGGGCUAGAGUGCGGAAGGGGCAACUGGAGUUCUUGGUGUAGCGGUGAAAUGCGUAGAUAUCAAGAGGAACACCUGCGGCGAAGGCGGGUUGCUGGGCCGACACUGACGCUGAGGCGCGAAAGCUAGGGGAGCGAACGGG